GCGGAUGGCCGGAUGGCCGCGCCCGGGUCCUGGCCGGGGCGAGGAAAGUCCGGACUCCCCGAAGCGACGGUGCCGGGUAACGCCCGGGCGGGGCAACCGACGGACAGCGCCACAGAGAACAGACCGCCCCGGGCGCGCCCGGGGUAAGGGUGAAACGGUGGGGUAAGAGCCCACCGCGGGACGGGCAACCGGACCGGCAUGGCAAGCCCCACCGGGAGCAAUGCCGAAUAGGGGCCCCGCGCGGACGCGUCCGCAGGGCGGCUUCGACCCAGGGGCCCGGGUUGGCAGCACGAUCCCGCCGGCGACGGCGGACCAGAGGAAUGGUCAUCCGGGGGUUCGCGCCCCCGACAGAAUCCGGCUUACAGGCCAUCCGCGCGA
rnacentral:RNase_P_RNA from 1 species